rnacentral:rRNA from 1 species
CCAGCCAUACCGCGUGGGUGAAGAAGGCCUUCGGGUUGUAAAGCCCUUUUGUUGGGAAAGAAAAGCAGUCGGCUAAUACCCGGUUGUUCUGACGGUACCCAAAGAAUAAGCACCGGCUAACUUCGUGCCAGCAGCCGCGGUAAUACGAAGGGUGCAAGCGUUACUCGGAAUUACUGGGCGUAAAGCGUGCGUAGGUGGUUGUUUAAGUCUGUUGUGAAAGCCCUGGGCUCAACCUGGGAAUUGCAGUGGAUACUGGGCGACUAGAGUGUGGUAGAGGGUAAUGGAAUUCCCGGUGUAGCAGUGAAAUGCGUAGAGAUCGGGAGGAACAUCCAUGGCGAAGGCAGCUACCUGGACCAACACUGACACUGAGGCACGAAAGCGUGGGGAGCAAACAGGAUUAGAUACCCUGGUAGUCCACGCCCUAAACGAUGCGAACUGGAUGUUGGGUGCAAUUUGGCACGCAAUAUCGAAUCUAACGCGUUAAGUUCGCCGCCUGGGGAGUACGGUCGCAAGACUGAAACUCAAAGGAAUUGACGGGGGCCCGCACAAGCGGUGGAAUAUGUGGUUUAAUUCUAUGCAACGCGAAGAACCUUACCUGGUCUUGACAUGUCGAGAACUUUCCAGA